GUCGCCCUGUAGGUGUUGACAACUCAAUCUUUUAUUCGUAUACAUUUUGUUUCUGUUUUAAAUUACGUAUAUAACACUCAAAAAACAAAUAAUCGAAAAAUGUGCUGCUCCAAUGAUUGUCUCGAAAAUGGCUGUUGCCCGCUGGAUACCAAGGCGCUCUUUUUUAGCAUUUGGACACUCGUACAUGGAAUACUUUUUUCGCUAGUCUCAAUAUAUUAUUUUUUUGAUCCAACUGAUUGUCCCUUAUAUGCGGCCAUUCUCACAUUCGUAUUGUCGUUAGUGCACACAGUCGCGGGACUAUUACUGAUACUUGGCUAUUGGAAAACCAAAGGGUGUCUUUUUUUGGUUGGCAUAAUAAUGAGCUCCAUAAUUCCGUAUUUGUGCCUGUUGUCUAUUUACCUAC